AUACGAAAGGUGCAAGCGUUGUUCGGAUUUACUGGGCGUGAAGAGAGUGUAGGUUGUUUAUUAAGUCGGAUGUGAAAUCCCGGGGCUCAACCUCGGAACUGCAUUCGAUACUGAUAGGCUAGAGUUUGGGAGGGGUAAGCGGAAUUCCGUGUGUAGCAGUGAAAUGCGUAGAUAUACGGAGGAACACCUGAGGCGAAGGCGGCUUACUGGACCAAUACUGACACUGAGACUCGAAAGCGUGGGGAGCAAACAGGAUUAGAAACCCUAGUAGUCC
rnacentral:rRNA from 1 species